rnacentral:rRNA from 1 species
UACAGAGACCUCGAGCGUUAUCCGGAAUCAUUGGGCGUAAAGCGUACCGAUAGGUGGUUACGAAAGUCAGAUGUGAAAUCUCCGAGCUCAACUCGGAAUCUGUCAUUUGAAACUUCUUGACUAGAGGGGCAAAGAGGAAGCUGGAACGAACGGUGUAGUAGUGAAAUGCGUUGAUAUCGUUCGGAACACCGAUAGCGAAGGCAGGCUUCUGGGUGCCACCUGACACUGCUAGGACGAAAGCGUGGGGAGCGAAGGGG